rnacentral:misc_RNA from 1 species
ACAGGACUGAAGCAACCGUCAAAGAAUGGACUCAUUUCUUGUUGUCUCCUUUUUUGUCGCUUUAUUUUCAUUCUCUUCAGCCGUACCGGUCAACGAACAGACCGUUAGUUUCUAUGAAGACUGGUUUAAUAACUACUUGGUAAUGGCGGAUGGAGUCACGUGUUACUUCUGGCAAACAACUGGACAAGACGCAAGUACUUUAAAACUUCAGUCUGGACAAAGAGCACUAGAGGUAAUUUGGUCUGAUUGUUAGGUUCGCAGUUGAUCUUAACAAUAGUUUUUUUAACGUAAAGAAAGUUACCACAACUUUAAGUCAAUUUAUUGCUUAAUUAUAUUUAUAUCGUUGUAAAUGCAAGCCAAAUGAAGCAAAAAUUCAUUGGUAUGCUGAUGUGAGUCUUUUAAACAAGGGCUUUUAAAGCUAGUGAAAGCUACUAUGACUGCCUCUUUAAAGUCUAUAUAAAAUACCUAAUAGUUUGCUACAAACUAGAUUUAUCAGACUAAUUCUAAUUUCCCAUUAUAUCUCAUUAAGCAACACAUGAUCGACAACUUAAGAAAGGGGGUUCAGCUGACCCAAUUCACACCCAACAAGAUGUCUGUGUCUUUUGUGAUCGUCAACCGUUGUGCAUCCGGGACUUCAUACAUGGCAGCCAUUCCGCCUUCAUCAAUACACAUAGGAUAAACAAUGCGAAAAUAAAGCAAUACUUGUC